GUAAAUUAACUAAUAAUAACCUGCAUUAUUGCAGGACACUCAGCAAAAUAUGGACUCUACACCAUGAGGCAGGCACACGUUAAUAACUCUAUAAGAGCACAUAAGCCUGGCUGAUCACCUGAUAACUCCUGUCAUCUGGUUGUGACAGCAUGAGGAUGUCCUCACACACCUGUAACCUAUCAGCUCAUCUGGCAGAAUAGAGAGAGAAGAGACAACACCACAUCUGUUCCUGGAAAGCCUUCAGCCAUCCUUCGAUGACUGAGAACCUCCAUCAGCUCUGUCUCCUGUCUGCCUACAAUUAUUAUAAUAAAUAUUGUGUUUGACAA